rnacentral:rRNA from 1 species
UACGUAGGGGGCAAGCGUUGUCCGGAUUUAUUGGGCGUAAAGAGCGUGUAGGCGGCCUGACAGGUCUGCUGUGAAAACUCGAGGCUCAACCUCGAGAUGUCGGCGGAAACCGUCUGGCUAGAGUCCGGAAGAGGAGAGUGGAAUUCCUGGUGUAGCGGCGAAAUGCGCAGAUAUCAGGAGGAACACCAGCGGCGAAGGCGGCGCUCUGGGCCGGAACUGACGCUGAGGAGCGAAAGCGUGGGGAGCAAACAGG